rnacentral:rRNA from 1 species
UUAGUCUUAUAAUUUAAGACCGGAAUGAAAGGGAGCACCAAAGAGAUUCUUUCUUUAAUUUUUUUAUUUAAUUUUACUUUUUAGUAAAAAGGCUAAAAUUACUCUUUUAGACAAGAAGACCCUAUAAAUCUUCACAUAAUAAAAUUUAAAAAUUCUAAUUAUGUUUUGUUGGGGUAACAGAGAAUUUAAAUAUUCUUUAAUAGAGAUAACCAUAAAGUUAAGAUAACCAAAAAUUUUGAAAUAAAAAUAAGUUACUUUAGGGAUAACAGCGUAAUUUAUUUAGAAAGUUCUUAUUGACAAAUAAGCUUGCGACCUCGAUGUUGGAUUAGAGAAUCCUUUCUAUGUAUAAGUAG